rnacentral:rRNA from 1 species
AGGACGAACGCUGGCGGCGUGCUUAACACAUGCAAGUCGAACGGUGAUGAUCAGCUUGCUGGUCUGAUCAGUGGCGAACGGUGAGUAACACGUGAGCAACCUGCCCUUCACUCUGGGAUAACCUCCGGAAACGGUGGCUAAUACCGGAUAUGAGACGUACACGCAUGUGUCGCGUCUGGAAAGAUUUUAUCGGUGAAGGAUGGGCUCGCGGCCUAUCAGCUUGUUGGUGGGUAGUGGCCCACCAAGGCGACG